CCUGGUAGCUUAUGUGUGACAGCAGUGGAUUCCCAGUAAGGCAUCAGACCUUCAUCUGGAGACUGGGGAGGAGAAUGCUGGGAUGGGGAAUUGUUUCAUUCAGCUCUUUGCUCCAGGUGUGAAGAGUCCUUUUCAUUACAGAUCCAUACAACUUACUUUGGCUUCCACUGCAGGCUUUAUAGAGAGGACAAGGAGCAGUUUAAUCUGGUUCACGAAGAGCACAGAUACCUGCUCUGAGUUCACUGUUGCUUUGACAGGGAAACUGUGACUGUGCUAUAAAAACAUCUGCAGCUCUGAAUUUUGUCUCCUCUGUCAGUAAUAUUUCUCUGAUGAGAAUUAGCAAAGGCAAAUCUGGAAGGAUGAAGAACCAGAGAGGAAAGGCAGAAAACUAGCAAUGGAGAGACAUAUAUGUCGCAUGACUCUUCUCUGGUAGGAAAGAUCUUGCACACAUACACAAAAGAAAAUCAAGUCUUCCUGUAAGUAUCGCAAUCUCUUUAAUUCUUUUCCCUAGUACUUGACAUAAUCUUUAUGUGUUUAAAAAUUAAAUGCGAAGUUGCAGGAAGGACUGCACAGUGGCUCCUCUGGGCCUGAAUCCAUUCUUUAUUGGGGCCUUCCCCUCUUUUUGCCAUCCUUUGUUUGCUCUGGUAAAACGAGCAAUUGUGUGGGACAUGAGCACAGUCCAGACCUCAUUCAAGUCUCCGUUUGUUCCCUGAAUGACCUGGCUGUGCAGAUCUCACUCUGCUCACGUCAGUGCAGAGGAAAAAGCUCCAGUCUUGAAGUGUAAGCACAAGGGAGAGAACUGAGUUUUCCCAUGCGUUGUUGCUGCCAUUGCGUCAUUCCAAGCUCAGGAUUUGGUGUCUCAGAAAAGAUAUCUUGUCAUUGUCUAUGUUCUUUCAAAUUUGAUCACUUUAACUUCCCCAACAGCAAAGGUUCUCUUUGAAAUCCUCAAUGUCCAUUUAUUGUUCUUGCUUCACAUUUGAAAUCAAGCAGGCAUGAAACAAAUUUAAUGUAGCUCCAACCUUCUUCCACCCAGCUUGGUAAACUGGUAUUGAUCCAUCUAAUGCAUCUAACAGGGACCAAACGGGCUGCACAAGGAGAUAUUUUCAUUCCGUUGUGUGAUUUUUUUCAGCACAAUGGAUUGGUUUCCUUUGGAAAGCUUGCUCCAGAUUGUAUACUGGAAGGUAUGAAUAUCAUUCAAUGUAGUAAAAGGAGGGAUGACCUCUUACAGAGUUCAUCACUGGGAUUUGCUCUGGAAAAAAGUCUGGAGAGGGUUUGGAGGAAGCUGACCCAGCAGCCACUCCCAGCACCAACCACUGACCAAGAGAUGCCUCUAUGAAGCCUAAUUCCUCACCUGGAGGAGAAGGGUGAGAACUCCCAUAUGACCAGCCCUGCACAGCACCAUGCGUUCUUCCACCCUUCCAGCUCAAAUAGGGUGACCUACAAAUACACCUAUUUUCCUUUCUUCAGUAAUUAAUCCAAGAGAAGUAACUAUCCGGAGCAGCAAACUGAGCACACCGUGAUGGACACUUCUCCAUGUGGUUGCUUCUCUACUAAUUGCAUACAGCAAAACGACCGGCUACAUCAGUUUGCGCAUGGGGCCAAAAAGAAACUCACGUCUGUAGAAUGAGAGUAGGAUCUGCUAUGGAAAUCUCUAUGAAUGUGCAAGCACUAACGGCAGAAGCCUCAAUUAAU
ensembl:lncRNA